GAUGAAGAACGCAGCAAAAUGCGAUAAGUAAUGUGAAUUGCAGAAUUCAGUGAAUCAUCGAAUCUUUGAACGCACAUUGCGCCCGCCAGUAUUCUGGCGGGCAUGCCUGUUCGAGCGUCAUUUCAACCCUCAAGCCCUCGGGUUUGGUGUUGGGGAUCGGCGAGCCUUUCUGGCAAGCCGGCCCCGAAAUCUAGUGGCGGUCUCGCUGCAGCCUCCAUUGCGUAGUAGUAAAACCCUCGCAACUGGAACGCGGCGCGGCCAAGCCGUUAAACCCCCAACUUCUGAAUGUUGACCUCGGAUCAGGUAGGAAUACCCGCUGAACUUAAGCAUAUCAAUAACGGAGGA
rnacentral:misc_RNA from 1 species